rnacentral:rRNA from 1 species
AUUAGACGAAUCAUCUGGAAAGAUGAAUCAAAGAAGGUAAUAAUCCUGUAGUCGAAAAUGUUGUCUCUCUUGAGUGGAUCCUGAGUACGACGGAGCACGUGAAAUUCCGUCGGAAUCUGGGAGGACCAUCUCCUAAGGCUAAAUACUCUCUAGUGACCGAUAGUGAACCAGUACCGUGAGGGAAAGGUGAAAAGCACCCCGGAAGGGGAGUGAAAUAGAACCUGAAACCGUGUGCUUACAAGUAGUCAGAGCCCGUUAAUGGGUGAUGGCGUGCCUUUU